CAGCCGCCGCGGGAAUACAGAGGGUGCGAGCGUUAAUCGGAUUUACUGGGCGUAAAGCGUGCGUAGGUGGUGGUUUAAGUCCGUUGUGAAAGCCCUGGGCUCAACCUGGGAAUUGCAGUGGAUACUGGGUCACUAGAGUGUGGUAGAGGAUAGUGGAAUUUCCGGUGUAGCAGUGAAAUGCGUAGAGAUCGGAAGGAACAUCUGUGGCGAAGGCGACUAUCUGGGCCAACACUGACACUGAGGCACGAAAGCGUGGGGAGCAAACAGGAUUAGAGACCCCUGUAGUCCCUGUCUCUUAUAC
rnacentral:rRNA from 1 species